AGAUUGAACGCUGGCGGCAUGCCUAACACAUGCAAGUCGAACGGGAGUAGCAAUACUCUAGUGGCGGACGGGCGAGGAAUACGUAGGAAUUUGCCCUUAAGUGGGGGAUAACCCGGGGAAACCCGGAUUAAUACCGCAUGACCUCGAAAGAGCAAAGUGGGGGAUCGCAAGACCUCACGCUUUUGGAGAAGCCUACGUCGGAUUAGCUAGUUGGUGAGGUAAUGGCUCACCAAGGCGACGAUCCGUAAC
rnacentral:rRNA from 1 species